UACAGAGGGUGCGAGCGUUAAUCGGAAUUACUGGGCGUAAAGCGUGCGUAGACGGUUAUUUAAGUCGGGUGUGAAAGCCCCGGGCUCAACCUGGGAAUUGCAUUCGAGACUGAAUAGCUAGGGUACGGUAGAGGGAAGCGGAAUUUCCGGUGUAGCGGUGAAAUGCGUAGAUAUCGGAAGGAACAUCAGUGGCGAAAGCGGCUUCCUGGACCAGUACCGACGUUCAGGCACGAAAGCGUGGGGAGCAAAGGG
rnacentral:rRNA from 1 species